UGCAUGGCUGUCGUCAGCUUCGUGUCGUGAGAUGUUCGGUUAAGUCCGCUAACGAGCGCAACCCUCGUCGUAUGUUAUAUGUGUCAUACGAGACUGCCGGUAAAAAGCCGGAGGAAGGUGAGGAUGAUGUCAAGUCAGCAUGACCUUUAUAUCCAGGGCUACACACACGCUACAAUGGUCUGUACAAUGGGUAGCCAAGCCGCGAGGCGGAGCCAAUCCUGAAAGCAGGCCUCAGUUCAGAUUGCAGUCUGCAACUCGACUGCAUGAAGCCGGAGUUGCUAGUAAUCGCGGAUCAGCAUGUCGCGGUGAAUACGUUCCCGGGUCUU
rnacentral:rRNA from 1 species